AUCGAACGAGGGAGAAUAUUAAUGUCCCACGUCCCGUGUGAGAUUGCCUUGUUUGAGAAAAUUGGCAGUAAAGUUUUUGUAUUACAAUAACUUACAUAGGACAAUAGAAAUAGUAUAGGAAAUUGCACGAUUUGAGAAGUAUAACGAAAAAUUGCACGUGUGUUUGGCGAAAUAUUAGAGAGGUUAAGAUACCCCGAUUCCGGUUUACGGGUACGGGUGAUAUACACGUACCCGUACCCGUAAAUCGGGGAAUAACUUGUAACUUAAGAAGUCCAAGAUACUCCGGCGUAAGAAAACCGAUCAGAGAAUGGCAACUUUCGCUGUUGAGGUUCG